GCAGGGAUGAUGUAGCGGUUGCAUACGGGCUUGCCAGGCUCGGCGCAGGAGUUCGAACCUCCUUCCUUGCUCCA
rnacentral:tRNA from 1 species